GCUGGAAGGAGAGGUCCUGUCUUACCCAUUUUAUUGGGGGGGAAUUGAAAGUUUGGCGAGGUGGGGUGACUUGUCCCGAGGUGACACAACAGUUAGGCACCCAAACCAGAAUUGGAGUGGAGCACAUCUGACGCACAGUUUGCACUUCCGGAACAAGAUUUUGGAUCGGGGUAAAGCUGUCUUCGGAAAAACAACUGUUUUCCAGGCAUUUAUAGCCCACUUUAGCAGCACUCAACUGCCUGCCUCUGUUUGGGAUGCUAAUUUCGGAGACGCCUUCUCUCUUAAAUAAUCCAAGGGUACGUGUGUGGAUGCUCCUCGCUUUGAAAUCCUUCUGUGCUUUGAACUAACAGGGUUGUAAAAUGUGCUCCAGAGUUUAUGCCUCCCCCGUUCAGCCAGAUUUCUCCCGUCAUUCCAUGUUCUCAGGACCACCUCUCCCCCUGCUUCUUCUCGCCGAUGUCCAGCGGGAAGGCGCCAGGGGAGCCACCUAUGGUUUCUCUCUUGGGUGUCGGAGCCCACCGUGGGCAGAUGGAGAGAGGGAAGAUCUGAGCCGGAGAGAGAAAUUUUUAAUUUCCUCCCGUUCUCUCCAGCUUAGGAAGUUUCACGCUGCCUGGAGGGGGCGUACCCAUUGUAUUUUAUCUUUCUACCAAAACAACAAUAAAAAACAAGGCUGGCUGCCACCGAGAGUUUCUCGAUGACCGCGCGUGCAGUAAGUGGGAACGAGGAGGGCACACGGCCAUUGGAGUCUCCUUCCUUGCGGAAAGGGGCUGCCUGCAUGUUAACACUCGAGAAAUGUCUCUCUGGAGGACUCCAGAAGUAUUUUCAACAACGGCAGUGUCAUCGGAAUAAGUAGGUACCUUCCCAAGGUGACAGUGCUUUACCGCCUUUCCUUGUUUAUAAGAAGGUACCGUUGAUUGUAGCUGGAUCACUCAUUUGAUAACAGCUCUUCGGGGAGAAAAGAAACACGACGUUAAACGCUCGCGUUGAUCGUAGGACGAAUCCGUUUUGGAAAUGAUGAAAUGUGAGAAAAUGUGCAGCUUAGAUUCACGGAAAUGCCGUUGCUCAAUUCAACUCUGUUCAGUUCCACCCAGUUGAGUGCAAACCUCUGUCAGGGGCCUCUCCCUUACCUCUCUCUCUCCUUUUGUUUUUAAUUUCAUACUGGAAGGGAGUAAUUAAGUCAGUCCAGAUCUGAGGACAAUUGUGUGAUGGGGCAGAGUGAGUCUGUGCCAGAAUCAGAUAGUCCUGGGUUUGAAUGCUGGCUUUUGCCACUUAAUUCCUGGGAGAUCCUGGACAGAUUACUUAGUUCACUGAUUUUUUUUUUUUUUUUUUUUUUGCUGAGGAAGAUUUGCUCUGAGUUAACAUCUGUGCCAGUAUUCCUCUAUUUUGUACAUGGGUUGCUGCCACAGCCUGGCCACCAGUGAGUGAUAUAGGUCUGCGCCUGGGAACAGAACCUGGGCUGCUGAUGCAGAGUGCACCAAAUUUAACCACUAGGUCACGG
rnacentral:lncRNA from 1 species